rnacentral:rRNA from 1 species
GAUGAACGCUGGCGGCGUGCCUAAUACAUGCCAGUCGAGCGAACAGACGAGGAGCUUGCUCCUCUGACGUUAGCGGCGGACGGGUGAGUAACACGUGGAUAACCUACCUAUAAGACUGGGAUAACUUCGGGAAACCGGAGCUAAUACCGGAUAAUAUAUUGAACCGCAUGGUUCAAUAGUGAAAGACGGUUUUGCUGUCACUUAUAGAUGGAUCCGCGCCGCAUUAGCUAGUUGGUAAGGUAACGGCUUACCAAGGCAACGAUGCGUAGCCGACCUGAGAGGGUGAUCGGCCACACGGGAAGUGAGACACGGACCAAAACCGUAAGGGAGGCAGCAGUAGGAAAUCUUCCGCAGGGGGCAAAAGGUAAACGGGGAAACGCCGCGUGAGUGAUAACGGUCUUCGGAUCGUAAACCUUGGUUAUCAGGGAAAAACAAAGUUUUAUUUAACGGGGCACUUCUUGACGGUACCGAAGAAGAAGGCCCGGCUAAACUAGGG